AACGCGAAGAACCUUACCGGGGCUUGACAUCGGAGGACAACUCUAGAAAUAGAGCUUAGGGGCAACCCUACUUCCAGACAGGUGCUGCAUGGCUGUCGUCAGCUCGUGCCGUGAGGUGUUGGGUUAAGUCCCGCAACGAGCGCAACCCUCGUCGUGUGUUGGUCCACAAGAUCUCUCACACGAGACCGCCGAUGAGAAGUCGGAGGAAGGUGGGGAUGACGUCAAGUCAGCAUGGCCCUUACGUCCCGGGCUACACACGUGCUACAAUGCGCCGAACAACGAGCUGCGAACCCGCGAGGGUAAGCCAAUCUCUUAAAUCGGCGCUCAGUUCGGAUUGAAGGCUGCAACUCGCCUUCAUGAAGUCGGAAUCGCUAGUAAUGGCGCAUCAGAACGGCGCCGUGAAUACGUUCCCGGGCCUUGUACACACCGACUGUAC
rnacentral:rRNA from 1 species